GGGGGGGGGGGGGGGGGGGGGGGGGGGGGGGGGGGGGGGGGGGGGGGGGGGGGUGGGGCGGGCGGGGGGGGGGGAAGGGGUGGGUAAUGGAUGGGGGCGUGCCCAGUGGUGGGGGAGGGGUGGGGGAAGGCCGGGUUAAUACCGCAUCCGACCUGCGGGUGGACGGGGUGGAUCUUCGGACACAGCGCUAGUGGAGCGGCCGAUGCCAGAUUAGCUAGGUGGUGGGGUAAAGGCCUACCCCGGCGACGGUCUGCAGCUGGUCUGAGAGGACGGCCAGCCACAGUGGCACUGCGACACGGCCCAGACUCCGACGGGAGGCAGCAGUGGGGAAUUUUGGACAAUGGGCGCAAGCCUGAUCCAGCAAUGCCGCGUGUGUGAUGAAGGCCUUCGGGUUGUAAAGCACUUUUGGCGGGAACGAAAAGGACUGUGCCAAUACCACGUUUCGAUGACGGUACCCGCAGAAUAAGCACCGGCUAACUACGUG
rnacentral:rRNA from 1 species